AAAAAAAAGAGGAUAAAUGUUCAAGUGUUGUUCUUCUUGAGACCUUUCCCCUGAGUUCUUCUUCUUCUUGAAUCUUGAGAGAGACCCAUGGAGAGGUCCGCCACCGCCAGCCCAUCCAUUGUGACGAACGAGAUCCGCUGUUUGCCGACCACAAUCUAACCAUCUCGUUCUCAUUCGCGCAUCCCAUAUUCUCUCUCUUCCGCCGUCAGAUUCCGAUGACGACAGAGUUGCGGCCUCAUAGAGGACCUUGCGCUGGUGGUGGAGUUGGCAAAAUAGAGCUCCUCGACAAGGACAGAAGAGAGAGACUGGCGAGGCUUGUUGAAGGUUGAGAAGGUAUCGGCGACGAAGUGGUCGAUGUUGGUGAUUUGGACGACGCUGAGUCGGAAAGAUAAAGUGGUUGUUUGGCCUCUGUUGUUCGCUUGGGAUUAGGAUUUGUCUCGGCUGGGGUUGGUGGUUCACUGAUGGUGGAGGAUGCGGCGCCGCUGAGCACGCCAUCACCAAACCAUUGCUCUUGACCCGUGGGUUUGUUUGGAUUUGAAUCACCUUCCAAUUUCGAACAAACCUUGUUCUGUGUCAAAGUUUUCACCAGUCAUUGGGUGGGUUUUUGUGGCCAUAUUGGUUCUGUUCAUUUUGCUUUUACAGGUUUGGCAGUCUUAAAAUGCAGUAUUUUUCCUUCUUUUUCUGGUUUGUGGGAUUCUGUUGAAUUAUUGUCUUGUUGCUUGGGAUGAAUGUGUGUUGGGUUUAUACUGUCUUUGGUUAGUUGUGUUUUUCUGUUCUACUCUAGUUGACAAUUAAGUUCCAUUUAGCUAAAACUUACAUCUUUUAGUUCAAAUCUUGUUCUUAUGCUUAGGAUAGGAAGCAUAUGUUGGUACAAAAAUCAUAGUUAUCAUUUAGCUCCAUUUCUGUGAAGUAGCAUGUAUGUAGGAGUAACCCAUCACUCAUUGCUCUAUUUAAUCUGUGCAUAACUUGUUUAAAUCAUUCCAUUGGAUGGAUGUACCCUAAGUAUAGAAUAAAAUGAAGUUGUGUGGAUUUUUCUCAUGAUUGGCAAGUGUUGUGCCAAGAGAGAUAAUUCUUAGUUUAAUUCAGUGCUUAUGUUUAGCUUGACUUGUAGAAUUGAACUAAAUAGUUUAUUUUGCUCUCUGAAUCCUCUUUGGGCCCAGGUUGUGUUAGUGGUUUAAUUCAUAAUGUUGGUUUCUAGUCAAGAUUUCUCAAAGUCUUGGUUCUUCUAUCUUCUUUUGGCUGCUUUGGCUGAAAAUGAAGCCUGGAAUUGCACACUCUCACUAAUAUGUUGCAGGAGGCUUUUUUUCAAGGUUUUGUUUCAAAUGGCAUCACUUGGAUUAAAUUUGCAUGCACAUCAUAUGAACAGGAUUUGGCUUAUACAUGUGAGAUAUGGUCUCAUGCUUGAUGCACACAAGCUGUUCGAUGAUAUUUAUGAGAGAUGUGGUUUCAUGCACACAAGUUGUUUGAUGAUAUUCUUGAGAGAUGUGGUUUCCUGGAUGACUGUGAUGGGUAGACUUGUGGGACUCUGGGAAUUGAACUGUGAUGGGUAGACUUGUGGGACUCUGGGAAUUGCUUUGAAGCUUUUGGGAUGUUUUCGUGUGUGGGAAGAGUUUAAUGAUGGUAGACAAAUUCGGGUGGGAGUAAAAAUUCAUUCGUGUGCUUUGAAGAAAGUAGUGGGUGGAUAGUUUUGUUGCUUCUGCACUGAUUAAACAAUUGUGGCAGUUAGUUAUGUGGCACAGAAUUGUAAAACUAUCUCUGCGCAAUUAGUGGCGGUUAAAGGCCGCUAGAAACUGACCUCUAACCGCGAAUCAUAUUUUUGCCAGAAUAAUUUCAAAUAAUUUGUUUUUCCUACAAAAGGCAAAUAAAUAAUUUAGUUAAGUUUAUUCACGUAUAUUA